CCCACGUUGUUUUUUUUUCUUCUUCUCUUUCCUUUCGGCUGGAUGCAGAGUUAUGGACGCUAUAGUUCUACAAAGUAUUGUUGGGUUUUAUGGUAUAGUUGUGCGUGCAUGCUGAAACUCGCAUUCCAAGUUUUGAAGUGACGACAUGCGUGCUCCCGUUUCUUGGAGAUCCGAGAAAUAUCUCGGAACAGCACAGAGGAUCCCGAGUUCCGAAUCCAAGAUGGCUGCGCCCUUUAGCAACAGAAGGGGAAGUUGUAGUUUUAUACUGUUUAAGCACUACUUCUCAUUUGUGGCUCAUUAAAUGGCACACACUAUACCGUCCAACUUAUCUGCGGAUCAGCUGUUUUGUAGCAUGUAAUGUGUUAUCAACUGGUAUUGCUAACAAUGGUUAACAAUUAACCAGGCUAGAACUGGAUUUCAUGAUUAUCCAUCCAUCCAUCCAUUUUCCAAACCGCUUAUCCUAUUGGGUCGCGGGGGGUCCGGAGCCUAUCCCGGAAUCAAUGGGCACGAGGCAGGGAACAACCCAGGAUGGGGGGCCAGCCCAUCGCAGGGCACACUCACACACCAUUCACUCACACAUGCACACCUAUGGGCAAUUCAGCAACUCCAAUUAGCCUCAGCAUGUUUUUGGACUGUGGGGGGAAACCGGAGUACCCGGAGGAAACCCCACGACGACAUGGGGAGAACAUGCAAACUCCGCACACAUGUGACCCAGGCGGAGACUCGAACCCGGGUCCCAGAGGUGUGAGGCGACAGUGCUAACCACUGCACCACCAUGCCGCCGAUUUCAUGAUUAGUCGGAUUAAUUUUAAUUUUACUAAUUUUAAGUGAACGAAGAUAAAGGCCAUUUAAACUGAGGUGCCUUAAAUCUGACAAGUUGUCCAGCUAAGCAAAAAAUCUUGCUUUGUCAUAUGGAUCCAUGGUAUUGCAUAUGUCCCAAGGCAUAUGGAACACACAAUAACUUUCGGUUGAGCACAGGGGGAUUGAGGUCCAAUUUAAGGGGGUCCAGGGGGUUGUAUUAGCUGGUUUUGAUUAUUUGGGGGGGGUGUUUACAACCCGCAUCCCCCCAUAAUUUACACCCAUGGUCAGACUAAAAAUAUGACUUUUUGACAUUGCACAGUGAGCUAAUGAAUAUGUUCAAUAAACCUAGUUAAAUAAUGUCCAUGUAAACCAGAUUUUAACCCCCCAAUGGGUGAAAACACCUGCAAUGCUCUAUAUGUAGGAGGUACCCAGUCUACUUUGUCCUGCCUUCAGUUAGUUACAAAUGUUGCAGCUAAUCUAACAACUGGGACUAAAAAGAGGGAUCACAUCACACCAGUCCUGGCCUCAUUACUCUGACUUCCAGUCUGUUUUAGGAUAAAGUUUAAAAAUUUACUGUUUGUUUUUAAAGCUUUACAUCGGUUGGCCCCUCCCUACAUUCUUGACCUGCUCCACAUUUAGUGGUUUCACUUUUACUUUUCGUUUUUUAUUAAAAUAUUCAAGCACGAUUGAAGUGUAAGAGUGAUGGUGCUUUCUCUGUGUACACACUCACAAAACUGGAACAGUUUACCACUUGGCAUCAGAUCCUCACUAUCCUUCAGUACUUUUAAACCUAGAAGUAAAACCUGCUUGUAAACAUUUUGCUUGGCGUCACUAUUUAUCUUGCUUUAUGUUUCCAUUUUUGUUUUCUGUGUAUUUUGUAGAUUGUUCGGUUUGAUUGAAAUUGUAUGUAUUUUUUGGCAUUGUAUUUUUCUCUCUUGUACUGUUUGACUUUCCCUGAGGGUUGUACCACACUUUGGUCAACAACUGUUGUAUUAAAUGUGCUUUAUAGAAAAGUAAAGAAAGUAAAGAAGA